CAAACUGUGAGCCAAAAUAUAUCCUCUUUCCCUUAAGUGGCAUUUUUGACAGAUAUUUGGUUGCAGCAACAAGAAAAGAAUGCUGCAGCUUUUAGCACAGCCCCAGAAUCGUGGAUACCAUGCUCCUAUUGAACAAAUUCUUGAUCCUGGUUUGUAUGAGGGAGUGGCUCUAUUAGAAGGUGUGGCCUUCUUGGAAGAAGUGUGUCAAUGUGAAGGUGGGCUUUGAGGUGUCAUAUAUGCUCAAACCACACCCAGUAUGACAGUCUCUCCUGCUGCCUUCGCAUCAAGAUAGUAGAACUCUCAAGCUCCUUCUCCAGCACCAUGUCUGCUUGCAUGCCUCCAUGUCCGGACAGGAUGAUAAUGGACUAAACCUCUGUAACUGUAAGCCAGCUCCAAUUAAAUGUUUUACUUUAUAAGAGUUGUCAUGGUCAUGGUGUCUCUUCACAGCAAAAUAAACUUUAAUGAAGACAGAAGUUGGCAUCAGGGACUGGGGUAUUGCUGUGAUAGGCCUGACCAUGCUUUUGUCUAGAGAAAU
rnacentral:lncRNA from 1 species